rnacentral:misc_RNA from 1 species
GAGAGAGAGAGAGAGAGAGGGGUUAUAUAUUCACCAAAAAGAUGGAUAUAUAUGUAGUGAACAGUACCAUUCAGAAUACAUGUCAUUGUCAUAUUUAUUGUAGGGGCCGAAGCAAAUUGUUCAUUUGUCUAGAUGUGUCAAUUUGUGUCUCCGUGCAUUUGCAACCAUACUAGUGCAUGUGAAUGCCACCAAUAACCAAUGAGUGUAAAAAAGCAACACAACAUAACCACUGUUAGCCACCAAUGAGAAAGACUAAUGACCAACCAAAGUUAGAUCACACAUCUCAUCAAUCUAUAUCAAACAGGCUGGCAGAAAAUUUUAUUAUUUUUAUCAAUUUUCAUUCUCAACCUUAAUGGACAGAAAACCCCACUUUUUUUUAUUUCUUAAAUUCAAAGAUAAACAAUAUCUAGAACUAACUGGACAAAUAUUCCAAAUAUUAAAUAAGCAUUUUGAGUCAACUUACAAGUUGGAGUAGCA